rnacentral:rRNA from 1 species
UACGUAGGGCGCAAGCGUUAUCCGGAAUUAUUGGGCGUAAAGAGCUCGUAGGCGGUGUGUCACGUCGGCCGUGAAAACCUGCAGCUUAACUGUGGGCGUGCGGUCGAUACGGGCAUCACUGGAGUUCGGCAGGGGAGACUGGAAUUCCUGGUGUAGCGGUGAAAUGCGCAGAUAUCAGGAGGAACACCGGUGGCGAAGGCGGGUCUCUGGGCCGAUACUGACGCUGAGGAGCGAAAGCGUGGGGAGAAAACAGG